rnacentral:rRNA from 1 species
AGCUUGCUCCCAUUUCUCAGCGGCGGACGGGUGAGUAACACGUGGGCAACCUGCCCUGCAUGACUGGGAUAACUCCGGGAAACCGGAGCUAAUACCGGGUAAUACAUAGCAUCGCAUGAUGCAACGUUGAAAGUUGGCCUUUGGCUAACACUGUAGGAUGGGCCCGCGGCGCAUUAGCUAGUUGGUAAGGUAACGGCUUACCAAGGCCACGAUGCGUAGCCGACCUGAGAGGGUGAUCGGCCACACUGGGACUGAGACACGGCCCAGACUCCUACGGGAGGCAGCAGUAGGGAAUCUUCCGCAAUGGACGAAAGUCUGACGGAGCAACGCCGCGUGAGUGACGAAGGCCUUCGGGUCGUAAAGCUCUGUUGUUAGGGAAGAACAAGUACCGUUCGAAUAGGGCGGUACCUUGACGGUACCUAACCAGAAAGCCACGGCUAACUACGUGCCAGCAGCCGCGGUAAUACGUAGGUGGCAAGCGUUGUCCGGAAUUAUUGGGCGUAAAGCGCGCGCAGGCGGUCUCUUAAGUCUGAUGUGAAAGCCCACGGCUCAACCGUGGAGGGCCAUUGGAAACUGGGGGACUUGAGUGCAGAAGAGGAGAGUGGAAUUCCACGUGUAGCGGUGAAAUGCGUAGAUAUGUGGAGGAACACCAGUGGCGAAGGCGGCUCUCUGGUCUGUAACUGACGCUGAAGCGCGAAAGCGUGGGGAGCGAACAGGAUUAGAUACCCUGGUAGUCCACGCCGUAACGAUGAGUGCUAGGUGUUGGGGGGUUCCACCCUCAGUGCUGAAGUUAACACAUUAAGCACUCCGCCUGGGGAGUACGACCGCAGGUUGAACUCAAGGAAUGACGGGGCCGCACAAGCAGUGGAGCAUGUGG